CAUGCACACUUUUAAAGCCUGACACUAAUGUUGGUGUUUGGGUGUCGGAGGUGUGCUAUAGUGACCAAGCCGGGUUUUCGCUAACACCAUGAGGGCCCAGAGCCCCAUGACUGGGGUUUGAUAGUGACCUGAGCUACAUGU